rnacentral:rRNA from 1 species
CCUACGGGAGGCAGCAGUGGGGGAUAUUGCACAAUGGGGGGAACCCUGAUGCAGCGACGCCGCGUGGGUGAAGAAGUGCUUCGGUAUGUAAAGCCCUAUCGGCAGGGAAGAAGCAAGACGGUACCUGACUAAGAAGCCCCGGCUAACUACGUGCCAGCAGCCGCGGUAAUACGGAGGGGGCGAGCGUUAUCCGGAUUCACUGGGUGUAAAGGGAUCGUAGACGGCCAUGGAAGCCAGGGGUGAAAGCCCGGGGCCCAACCGCGGGACUGCCAUUGGAACGGCAUGGCUGGAGUGCGGGAGGGGCAGGCGGAAUUCCUGGUGUAGCGGUGAAAUGCGUAGAUAUCAGGAGGAACACCGGCGGCGAAGGCGGCCUGCUGGACCGCGACUGACGUUGAGGCUCGAAAGCGUGGGGAGCGAACAGGAUUAGAUACCCGAGUAGUC